UACGUAGGCAGCGAGCGUUGUUCGGAGUUACUGGGCGUAAAGGGUGUGUAGGCGGUUUCUUAAGUUUGGUGUGAAAUCUCCCGGCUUAACCGGGAGGGUGCGCCGAAUACUGAGGGACUCGAGUGCGGGAGGGGAGAGUAGAAUUCCUGGUGUAGCGGUGAAAUGCGUAGAUAUCGUCAAGAACACCUAUAGCGAAGGCAGCUUACUGGGCUGUAACUGACGCUGAGGCACGAAAGUGUGGGGAUCAAACAGG
rnacentral:rRNA from 1 species